rnacentral:rRNA from 1 species
GAUCGCUUUUGUAAUGAAAGCUUUUCUUCGGAACAUUGGAUACAGGUGGUGCAUGGUCGUCGUCAGCUCGUGUCGUGAGAUGUUGGGUUAAGUCCCGCAACGAGCGCAACCCUUGUUAUUAGUUGCCAGCAUUUAGUUGGGCACUCUAAUGAGACUGCCGGUGAUAAACCGGAGGAAGGUGGGGACGACGUCAGAUCAUCAUGCCCCUUAUGACCUGGGCAACACACGUGCUACAAUGGGAAGUACAACGAGUCGCAAACCGGCGACGGCAAGCUAAUCUCUUAAAACUUCUCUCAGUUCGGACUGGAGUCUGCAACUCGACUCCACGAAGGCGGAAUCGCUAGUAAUCGCGAAUCAGCAUGUCGCGGUGAAUACGUUCCCGGGUCUUGUACACACCGCCCGUCAAAUCAUGGGAGUCGGAAGUACCCAAAGUCGCUUGGCUAACUUUUAGAGGCCGGUGCCUAAGGUAAAAUCGAUGACUGGGAUUAAGUCGUAACAAGGUAGCCGUAGGAGAACCUGCGGCUGGAUCACCUCCUUUCUAAGGA